CGCGACGGGCCACCCAAUCAUUCUGAAGCCGCAACCGCAAGCCGGCCGCCGCACCCCAAGCCCUAACGCGCACGCGCGCACGCACCGAGUCGGCGAGCGGGAGAGAGCUAUGGCGGCGGCGGUGGCGAAGCAGCAGCAGCAGCAGAAGAUCCGGUGCGGCGAGCUCGAGGACGGCGGCGGCGGCGACCUCGGCUUCCUCCUCAUGCCGUGGGUCGUCAUCGGGCCCGACGCGAACGGCCUCAGGAAGGUGGUCGAGUACCGCUUCGACGACGAGGGCAACAAGGUCAAGGUCACCACCACCACCCGCGCCCGCAAGCUCGCGUGCGCGCGCCUCUCCAAGAGCGCCGUCGAGCGCCCCUCCUGGCCCAAGUUUGGCGACGCCGUCAAGGAGGACGCCGGCUCGCGGCUCACCAUGGUCUCCACCGAAGAGACCCUCCUCGAGCGCCCACGAGCUCCAGGUAGCGAAGGUGAGGAACCAAAUACUUCUGGUGAUGGAAUUUUUUUAGUCUAUUUAAAAUUAAUAUUUUAAUAACAGCACGUGAGGAUCUAAAAUUUCAGUAACUAGCCUCUUUUUUCACGCCAAAAGCUUUGGCGUGAUAAGUCGACUUAUCACGCCAAGCUCUCUGACGUGACCGAGCUGCUACGCUGGCGGUUGCUCGACACCGUGUCACGCAGCGUGCCAACGUGGCAGACCUGUGUCGCGCCAAGGGGUUGGUGCAACUUCGGUCACGCCACCCGCAUUGGCGUGACACAGCUGCAUAUAGAGGGGCGCUCUGGCCCUUCUCUCCCCACCGGCCCUUCUUCCUCCUCACCUGAGCGCGACCAGCACAGACGCCAAACACGAUGUCGAUGCCCCCUCCCUCCAAUCUUCACCGAUUUCAGUCUCGAUUCGAAUGGGAUUUCAGGGGGAAAUGUCCUAGGAAGCUGCCCUCGCCGAUGCCCUCGUAGCUACCCACGCCGACAUCGCCUGUGGUGGCUCCCGCGUCGCCGUCUCCCACGUAGCUGCUCGCGUCGACGAUGCCCGCGCAACCGCCCUUGUUGACACCACCAGUGCAGUCGUCGUCGCCCUUUAUACGAUGUUGAGUGGAGUGUGGAGGUGGAGCAAGAUCCCGAUGUGGAGCGUAGCGUGGGGGAAUCAGGAAUGAGAGCCGAAUGCCGAAUGGGUUUGGACCGUCAGAUUGUGGAACAGAGUGGAAUCAGGUAUGAGAUGUAUUGAUUGUAUGCUGGGUCACCUCUGCUCACAUGGUUUUAAUUUGUUUACUCAUUAUCAAAUACACAUACAUAAGUAUAUUAAGAUUAAUCCUAUAGCUUAACACAUGAAAAAAUGAUCCACUCCAAUUAAAAUAAAGGCAAUCUUUAAUUUAUUCUAAUUAACAAAAGGAUUAAUCUAAGAUUAAGUUAGUUUAUCACAUGCGACAAUACUACGAUCGUAACUAAACAUAGUUAUCGAAUUAUCUAACUUGGCUCUAUUUAAUAAAAAACUUCUUAAGGCUAUGACUCGAUUUGGGUCACUGUGGAUCGAUUGACGAAGUUCGCUCAUUUUUUUUGCCCGUCAAGACCAUAUUUUUGAUCAAGCAAUAUGCGGAGUUGUACCUCACCAGGAUAGUUUGCCUUCAUGA